ensembl:snRNA Rnu1-140 RNA, U1 small nuclear 140
AUACUUACCUGGCAGGGGAGACACUAUGAUCAGGAAGGUAGUUUUCCCAGGUGAGGCUCGCCCAUUACACUUGGGGUGUGCUAACCCCUGUGAUUUCCCCAAAUCCAGGAUUCUCAAUUGCAUAAUUUGUGUUAUGGGGGACUGUGUUCCCCUGGCCCCCU